AGUUCUCUUCCUGCCACCACUUGAAGAAGGACGUGUUUGCUUCCCCUUCUGCCGUGAUUCUAAGUUUCCUGAGGCCUCCCCAGCCAUGCUGAACUGUGAGUUAAUUAAACCUCUUGCCUUUAUAAAUUACCCAGUCUUGGGUAUGUCCUUAUAGCAGCAUGAGAAUGGAAAUACAGCCAUCUUCUCCAUGUGUCUCUUUACAUUGUCUUCCCUCUGUAAGCGUUCGUUUCUGUUAUAAGACACUAGUCUUAUUGGAUUAGAGACUGUAAUGACCUCAUUUAAAUUUGAUUACCUCAGUAAACACACUAUCUCCAAAUAAGGUCACAUUCUGAAAUAUUCAGGGUUAGGACUCCAGUAAUAUCUUUUUGUGGGGAGACACACUUCAAUCCAUAACAUACUAUAAGAGAAGGGAGCGCUUACCACUGUCCAUUACCUGGAACCAGUUCAGACAACCAUCAUCUUUCUACAUGCGAUGGAGAAAACAGUUCACCUGGGCAUUUUUGCUAUGACAGGAGGAAACGUCAAUAUCAAACCAUUGGAGAAGGUAGCUGAGUCAUUCAUUUGUGGCAGCAACCAUCUUUCCUUCCCGCACCCCCUGGCUAGGCUGCUCCAUGUUGGGAGGUGGUGUGUUCAGUACAGCCACAGUGAGCUAAGUGAGGGCUUCAGCUGCAGGCUGGAGUGACCCAGGGAGGAACUGCCGCCUAUCAAAAGGAAACACCUGCCACAGAAGGUUCACUGAAGCCUGAGAAAAUAAACGUCAAGAGCUCUGGGCUGUGCCACCACCAGUCUCCACCACUAUUCUGAGGCAGAAUGCACCUAUUGGCUCACAAUGCUGUGAAAGAAAACAAGAAAGUCGUGAUGAUAACAAUGCAGUGUCUUCAUUCAUAAUGGAUUGCAGUUCCCCACUCAGGAAGAGGACAUUUUUUUUAAAACUACAUGAUACAACUGAGAGCUUGGAAGCUAUCCAUGCAUAAGUUUUAAAACCCAGCAGCUUCAUGGUUUCCUCCUUCUGUUGGCCUGGCCAGUGGACACAGUGGUCACGUUCCUGGCAUGGAGAUGUCAUUCAUGGUCUCUCAGACCCAAGUGUUACCAGUGAAGGGUGUCCAGGUUCUUGGCGCUUUGAACAAAGAAUUGGACAAAACUCACAAACAAAGCAAGAAAAGAAAGAAGCAACAAAAGCAGAGAUGUAUUGAAAAUGAAAACACACUCCACAGGGUGGGAGCAGGCCGAGCAAGCAGCUCAAGGGCCCAGUUACAGAACUUUCUGGGGUUUAAAUACCCUUUAGAAGUUUCCAUUGGUUACUUGGUGUACACCCUAUGUAUAUGAAGUAGUGGCCUGUGAUCAGUCUGAUUGGUUGGAAGGGACCAAUCAGAAUGCAAACGUCUGAUUAGUUGUGGAAAGUGACCAAUUAGAGGCUGAAGUGAAGUUACAAAGUAAUACUCCCACGCAAAUGAAGACUUGGCCCACAACCAACCUGAUUGGUUGUGAGAGGGGACCAAUCAGAGGGACUUUCAGUUUUUCACCUGCAAUGCAGAAAAAGGGUGGCAGGUGAGGGGUGUUGCAAAGGGAGUAGCCUCUGGUCCUUUUGUUACUUGGGCACUUGGGCGUGGAAAGUGGGGGUUUUCCUUUUGAUUUAGUUCUAGGAAGUCAGCGUGAAUUGGCCUUACAUUCCCUGCCUCCAGACCCUAUUCUCCUGCCUCACAAGUGCUCCUAGGAGCUGUACAUGCCUGUCUUUGUCCCCAUGUAGUCAGCUCGUUACAGGUGGGUCCUGCUGGGUCUUUCGUUCUUGCUUCUCUGCUUCAAGAUGGCUAAUAAGUCCUGGUCCAGUGAGUCCCCAGUGCAGACAUAGAGCAGAAGGGAAGUGGGUCCAGUUGCAUUUCCUGCAGUUUAAUAAAGAACCCUGUGCUCUCUGGCCCAUUACCUAAAGCUGAUAUUGUGCUUGGAACGUGUAGUGUUAUCCAAUCCAGCUUUACCACUGCUAAAGCUGAUACCACGCUUUGAUCCUCUGCUUGCUCAUUUUGCCAAGUUCUUAACUGCGUGGAACUGGAAGGUGAGGGCUGGAUGAUUGAUUUUUCACCCUGCCCCCAAACUCCAACAACCGAAACCAAGGGUUCUUGAAGAGAGAGGGGCAGGGCAGCAACAGGGAGACUGAAACUUGGGGUGGGGGGGGGGCGGGGGGAGGGGGGCGGACGGAAUGUUUUUGAAGUGUGUGUUUGCCUAAGGUGUGUGUAGAAAGGUAGCUACUUUUCAGUCUCUGCCUGCCUUUAAUCCAUUACAAUGUCCUAAUUAAAAACAUUUAAAAAGCUACAUUGGAAAAUGAUCCCUGAGGCUAGAAUGCUGUUGGCACAGUGAAAAAGACGCAAUCAAUAAGUAAACAGGCAAUGUCAGCCCGGAGAGCUUUCAGAACAACAUGCCUACUCGGGGGAAAAAAAAUUACAAGUCGCUUUAGCCUAUUUAAAUAUUUUCCAAGAUCUUUGUUAAAUUUCAGGUAAUAAUAUUUCUUCCUUUGAACAAGCGUUGUAUGUUUGCCUUUGACUGAGAAUGGCCUAGGCUAGAGACCAUUUGGUAUUCAACUUGUGACUAUUUUAGUAUGGGGCUGGACCCCAAAAAUUCAUGCUCAAUGAAAUGAUUUUCACUUACUGAGAUGAAUUUACUUUUUGCUUCCUUCAGCAAUUCAUCAAUCUAAUGGAAGAAAGAGUAGCUAUCAUCAUAAUGAGAAUAGACUUCUACGAGUAUGAGUCAAUGUCAAUACUUUAUUUAAUAAUGCAAAUUCUAUUACUAUAUAUUUGGUCUCAAUCCAAAUUUGCUUUAAAUUGAGUUUCCUUGCCAUUGCACACUCCUAUCUUUCUGAACACACACCACCCCACACACACACCAUACACACUUGUUUCAUUGCGCUUCAUUUUAUUGCACUUCUCGAAGAAUGUGUUUUUUACAAAUUGAAGAUUUGUGGCAACUUUUCAUCGAGUGAGUCUAUUGGCAUCAUUUUUGCAAGAGCAUAUGCUCACUUCCUGCCUCUGUGACAGCAUUUUUUAGCAAUAACAUAUUUUUAAUGAAGGUAUGUACAUUGUUUUUUAGACAUAAUGCUAUUGCACACUUGACUAAAAUGUAGCCUAAGUAUAAUUUUUAUAUGCCAUGGGAAACUAAAAAAAGUGACUUACUUUAUUGUAAUAUUUGCUUUAUUACUUUGGUCUGGAACUGCCUCACACUAUCUCUGAAGUAUGCAUGUAUAGCUUUUCAUAACACAGAUAUCACAUUUGACCAGAUCCUAUUGUUACUGAACAAUGUUGAUGCUAACAUUGAUGAUAUCAAUCACUAUUACUGGAAUCAUUAUCAACAUAUCAAUAAAUAUUUUUAGAACAUUU
rnacentral:lncRNA from 1 species